UAGAAGAAGGAAAACAGUUUUGGGAUA
rnacentral:piRNA from 1 species